UCCAAGUGGGGCAAGCAAAGGGAUUUCCCCCCUGAGAAUCCCCCUGCUGGUUGUGACAUCUGAGGACCACUCACAGCAUCUCUCAAAACUGGCAUCUCUCCACAUCAAACACAACAAGCCUGUUAAGAAAUAUCCAUUUGUCUGUUCUUGCUGUUGCAAGCUAAGGACGGGGGUUCUUUGGAUUUUUAUUCCUAGAUCCAGUCUCUAAUGGAAGGGCAACAAUGCAGACCCUCCACCAUCUCCACCCAGGCAGCACCCUGGCGACAGCCGCAACUUUCUUCACUCGUCAGAGCUAAUCUCUCUAAGAGUGGGAUUAGCUGUGUCUGUGCCCUCUCACCGCUGGGCCAUAUGCUCCUGAAUGACAGCUGUUUGACAGCCUAUGCUGGGGGAACGUGGUCUUUUCAACCCAAAUUUGAUAAACAUACAUUUCUUCUGUCUGUCCUACUUUGGGCCAUCUGUCAGUGUGGCAUGAUGCCUUCGCCUGGAUU
rnacentral:lncRNA from 1 species